rnacentral:lncRNA from 1 species
AGUCCAGAUUCUGCAGGCAAACUUUAUCAGUUCAAAUCCUGAACUAUCACUUACUGGUUUUGUGCCUUUGUCUUGGUUCUUCAUCUGUAAAAUGGGGCACAUUAAUAGUACCAACCUUAUAAGGUUGUCAGGUAGUUUAAAUUAGUCACUACAGGUGAGAAAGGUGCUGAAUAUGUUGUAGCAAUAAUUGUUAGUAAUUAUGAGAUGUCCCAGGAUCUCCAUUGCCCAUCUCUGUCAAAUAUUUAAUCAACAUUUUAAAAUAGAUAAAUUUAUUUUGCUUGGAACACUGAAUAUAUUUUAGGUUUAGUAUCUAUGCUGACCAAUUAUCUAGGAUUAACCCAGAAGCUUCACCUUGCCAAGGUGAGCUUAUUGUUUUAAAAGGAAGAGAGAAUAAUUCAAAUUUUAUAAUAGGUGCUAAAACUAUACAUAACGUGACACAAUCUUUGCACCACAACACUUGCCCAAUAUAGACAUAUUUUUGGCCUUUUUAGGGCCACAACCAUGGCAUAUGGAAAUUCCCAGACUAGCGGUCAAACCAGAGCUGCAGCUUCCAGCCUAUGCCACAGCCACAGCAAUGCUAGAUCUGAGCCACGUUUGCAGCCUAACUACAGCUCACAGUAACACUGGAUCCUUUAACCCACUGAGCAAGGCCAGGGAUUGAACCCAUAUCUUCAUGGAUACUAGAUGGGUUUGUAAUCUGCUGAGCCACAAUGGGAACUCCCAAUUUUCUUUUUUUAAACAUUAUUAUACCAUGAUCACACAGGGGCUGAGUAAGGGUAUAUUUCACCUGACGCUUUCACAGGGCCCGUGCACACUGAACUUGAAUCUCACAUAUAUAACUUUAUGUAAACAGACACCGGAAGACCUGCAUUUAAAUAAAUAAUAAUAACAACAAUAUAGAAAGAAGUAGUACAGAGCUAGACAUUCUGAGUCAAUGAACAUUUACAAAAUAUUUAUAGUAGGGACUGUAUACACAGAAGCAAAAAAAGCUGAAAGCACAAUUUAAUACAUUGGUUGUCUUCAGUAUAUAAACAUUUGGUGUGUGAAAUAUUUAACAGUGAUUUUUUUAAUUGAAGAAUUUUCAAUUAUGGAACAUAAUUCUGAAUGAAUUUGAAUUUGAAUCAAAUAUUUGUAGAUUCCGAAAGCAUCCCUGUAUAACUGUAGAAGUCCAAUGGUCAGAGUUUAAAAAUCACUUAAAUAAUUUUAAGUCUCUUCUAAAAUUUGGAAUUUUGGGUCAUCUGAGUUGGUUCAUGAGAUCUUACCCAACCCUUCCUAUUUUGGUCAUUCAUCCAGUUACACUGGCUCUUUAUUCUCUAUCAGAUGAGUCUAUCUCAAAAAUAGCAAAAGAUCUUACUUAAAACAUGCCAUAGGAGAUAGUUCCAUAGCAAGGGACUUAAGUUAAUUAGGAUGCCUUUGCCAACAAAUCAUUGUCAACUCAAUUCAAAAUGGCUUAAACGAUGAAGGCAUUUGCUAUCUCAUGAAACAGGGUUUAAAAGGAGCAUAGCUCCUGGGUUAAUGCAAUAUUUCAACAACUGCAUCAAAGACCGAGGGUUUUUCUGUGCUCUUUGCUUAGCCGUCUUCACCCUGUCAGCCAUUUUCCCUCCUGGUCCUAAGGUGGCUGCCACAGCUCCAAGGAUCAUAUCUGUGUGCAACCAUGUUCAGAGGUAGAAAAGAGAUCGCUCUACUCUUUGUAGUUCUUUUACAAAGCUAAGACUUUCCCAGAAGAGUUACCCUCCAAUCUCAUGAACCAGAGUUGAGGUUACAUGUUCCGUUUUAAGCCACUCUCUAGCAAGGGGAAUAAAAUUACCAUGAUUGGUAAGAUUAUCAAGAUUAAUAUGCUGGGCUUGGGAAUAGAGCCGAGUUCAGGAAUGUCCAUGACCAAACAAAGGAAAAACAUACAAACUGGGAUUCUGAGUGGGAAAGCAAGACUCUGUUAAAAAGCCUGAAGGAUAGCAUUCUGAUUGUGUCUACACAGAGCCAAAACAUUCCAGUGAAAGUGAAGAUUCAAUUGAUUUGAAUGUUUUCUAUUGCAUAAUGCCAAACAUUUAGAGUAGUUAUAAAGGGCUUAGUUUGGAGGAUGUUAUACUUGCACUGGAGUGGAUAGGGGGAGGUGUUGGAUGCAAAAGAAGUGUUUGGUGGUGCAGAUUUUCUUUUUAUGACGUGCUAUUUAGUUUUGGGUAUUGUGAACACUUUUGUGAAUCUGCUCAAACUAUGACCCCUCCUCCCUGAAAAAAAGAGCGUAUAUGUACUCUUAUCCAAAUUCUGCAAAUAAUUUUAGGAGAUUCACUGAUGCUUUGUCACUCAUUCAUGGGCUCUAAGUUAUAGCCUUAUGAUACCCUUGGGUAUACUGGUGGCGGAAAAAAAGCUUACAUGUGACGAAAUAAGCAGAACAAAAUAGCAAAGUCAGAAAGUCUGAUGGACAUUUGUCAGCUGUAUGGCCUUAUUUGAAUCUUUGUUAAGACCUCAAUUUUACCUCUGUAAAAUGGAGCUAGUAGAGUUAUUUCAAGAACCAAGUAGACAACGUAUAAGAUUGUUUAAAAUUAUGUAGCCUUUUACAAAUGUUGGCUUAAAAACCAAAAUGCUGGAGUUCCUGCUGUGGCUCAGCAGUUAUGAAUCUGACUAGUAUCCAUGAGGAUCUGAGUUUGAUCCCUGUCCUCACUCAGUGGGUUAAGGAUCUGGUGGUGCUGUGGCUAUGGCAUAGGCCUGUAGCUACAGCUCUGAUUUGACGCCUAGGCUGGGAACUUCCAUAUGCUGUGGAGGCGGCCUUUAAAAGACAAAAAACAAACAAACAAAAAAAUCCCCCCAAACCUGAAAUGCCAAUAAAUCUAAACAGCAUGGUGGCUGGACCUUCCCAGCUGAGUUUUCUGAAUACAAAAUGGUACACCCUAUGAGGACAUGCCUCAGGAAGGCUUUGGGGUUUCAUGGAGCAGAAGAUUCCUUUUCUGCAAGCAAAUGUCAUCCUCAAACACAUUGAGCCCUGCACCUUUUGCAGAAGCUGGUUUGAAAACGGGUACCAACUGAAACAUCUCUAACCCACCAACAAGCACUACACCCAGUAGGUAGAGUCAGGACAUGCCAAUGUGGCUAGAAGACCAGGGAUGGAGACUGGAAGAGUCUUCCAGAUGGCCUGCCUCUGCCUAUCCCAGGCCAGCCCCCACCCCUGGGACUGUCCCCAGACCUUGAUCAGUCCCUUCUGUAGAUCCACUCCAGGUCCGUCAGCCCCUUCAAGGCAGGGAUGCCAACUCCGGUUCCCUCACCGUGGUACCCAUCUCUUCCUCUUCACCAUGUGUGCCUUCCCAUCCUGACUUUCUCACAGUGCAAGAGGCCCAGCUUCCUCUCAUUUCUCAAUUUCCAUAGCUUCUUUCCUUUCCAUGCCCUACUGCCUGAGCAGCCAUCUCUUCAUGACUGAAGAGCAGAAUGCCCACUAGAGUUUCCCCAGGGAUCAAUCAACCAAGAGUUACAGAGAGUGGCAGACCGGCACGGAGUUCUAGGAUGAACAGACCUCCGCUCCUGUCUCCACAGAGAACACAAUCCCAUUGGGGUGCAGAUGCCUCCCUGUCUCUCCCAGUGCAAGCAGACAGCUGAUGGAGGAACUGGGAGGUUUUGCUGGGUGAUAGAGUUCAUCAGGAUGUCACUUACACACACCAAUGGUAAAGCAACAAAAAGUUGUCAAUGAGGCAAAGGAAGUCUCAGACAUGCUCAGACUACAAUGAUUCAGCCAGAGUCCAGCCAUCCCCUGAAGCCUGUAUUCCUCUGACAUGUGCUGGACCCAUGCUUCCUGCUUUCUUUCAACUGCUUCAAUUGAUGGGGUAACUGUUUAUACCUGGGAAGUUCAAGGACUGAGAAGGGCAGUUUCUCUACAUUCCAUAUUUCCAUGAUUUAACUCUAUGGUUGUGGGGAGGGGUGGGGAGAGAAGGAAGGUCUAGUUCCCAGUCUCAUCCAUAGCCAUUAUACCUCAACCCAGUACACAUCAAUACAAGAUCUUAAAUCAGCAGCACCUCCUAAUUAAAGAUUUAUCAUUAUCCUAUAAACUCCCAGGCCCCUGUCACAUGCACCAGCAGCAGAAUUUGUGGAAACUGAUGCCAAGAGAGCUCUCAGGUUUCCCACCCAUCCAGAGCAGGGCUGAUGUCUGAGAGAAGUUUGAGGGAGAAGGUGGACCAGCCAGACCAUGCACAGCACAGGGAGCAGGGUGGCUGGUAGGUGGGUUCACUCCUGGCUUCAGUAUCAAUUCAGACAAGCUGUCAGGAAUUCUCUUGUGGCUCAAGGAUCUGGUGUUGCCACUCACCAAAAUUUUGCUUGAGUUUCCAGAAUCAAAACGCACACCAUUGACCAAGGGGGCAGCAUGGUGUAGGGUUAAUUAGCAUCCUUAACUGUGACUCUGGCAAGUCAGACUCUCUGACCUCCUAGAUCCUCACUGGCAAGAAGAGGAGCUUGGACAAGAAAACCGUCAAGGUCUCUAUAAGUCAUAAUCAUAAUGACAGCUAACAUUUACUUAGUGGUUGCCAGGGCUUUUUCUAAGUGCUUUAUGUUCAAUCUCACAUGAUUCUCACAAUGCCCCUAAGAGAUAGGUGCUAAUAACCUCCCUCCCUUUUUGUAGGUGAGGAAACUGAGACACAAGGGAAGUUGCCCAAAGUCACACAAAGAGGGGGCAGAGCUCAGAACCCACACACUCAACCAUUCAGCUCUCUUUCUGCUCUGAUAGGAAUUGUACUCUUAGUGGCCUCAGAUAGAUGGGUAACCACAUUUCAUCACUUCUUCUUUAAAGCUGCCCCAGCUUUUUCCUACGCUAGAUAAAAAAUAGUGUGUGUUUUUAACUAUCUCAUCGCAUUGCUUAGGACAUAGUAGGUGAGCAAUAAAUAUUUUCUGACCUGAUUUUUUUUGUUAUUAAAAUCAUUGUAUGAGAAAGACGGAAACAAUCAAGAAUAAACUAAGAAGUAGGAAAUAAACAAGGAGGCAUAACUGGGGGAAAUGAUCUGACUCAGACCUCCUAAUAUGAACUGUCUUAUAGGAGAAUACUCCAAAGAUAAAACCCAAUAUGAGUCCACACAGUUCUUAUCUCCAUGAAACAACUG